rnacentral:rRNA from 1 species
UGAGCAAUCUGCCCUUCUCUUCGGAAUAAGCGUUGGAAACGACGUCUAAUGCCGAAUACGACCUCCUUUCGCAUGAUCGGAGGUGGAAAGCUCCGGCGGAGAAGGAUGAGCUCGCGGCCUAUCAGCUAGUUGGUGUGGGUAAUGGCCCACCAAGGCGACGACGGGUANCCGGCCUGAGAGGGUGACCGGCCACACUGGGACUGAGACACGGCCCAGACUCCACGGGAGNAGCG